rnacentral:rRNA from 1 species
AACGAACGCUGGCGGCAGGCCUAACACAUGCAAGUCGAACGCUGUAGCAAUACAGAGUGGCGCACGGGUGAGUAACGCGUGGGAAUGUACCAUUUAGUGGGGGAUAACUUCGGGGAACUGAAGCUAAUACCGCAUACGCUCUCCGGGGGAAAGAUCUAUCGCUAAAUGAUCAGCCCGCGUGAGAUUAGAUAGUUGGUGGGGUAAUGGCCUACCAAGUCUACUAUCUCUAGCCGGUCUUAGAGGAUGAUCGGCCACACUGGAACUGAGACACGGUCCAGACUCCUACGGGAGGCAGCAGUGGGGAAUAUUGGACAAUGGGCGAAAGCCUGAUCCAGCCAUGCCGCGUGAGUGAUGAAGGCUUUAGGGUUGUAGAGCUCUUUCGCCGAUGAAGAUAAUGACGGUAGUCGGAGAAGAAGCCCCGGCUAACUUCGUGCCAGCCGCCGCAGUAA